rnacentral:rRNA from 1 species
AUGCAGGGGACUCGGGCAGGAGGCCGAGCGCUGUGGGCGUGGAGGAGGCAAGACAAGCGUGGCGGCGACCUGGGCUCGCCGGACAGCGAGGCACCAAGGGAGGUGAGCCGGAGAAGGAGGGACGACGAGGUGGAGGCAAGGUCGUUGGACGAGACGGCAAGGCAGUGGGAUGGAGCUCCGGUAGUGGGAUGGCGACGCUGUCCCACGGCUUGA